GGUAGGCAAAUCCGCCGGACAUGUAGCCUGAGAGGUGAUGCGUAGCCGAUUGAGGCGAAUUCAGUGAUCCUAUGCUGCCGAGAAAAGCCUCUAGUGAGUUGGUACACGGCCCGUACCCCAAACCGACACAGGUGGUCAGGUAGAGAAUACUGAGGCGAUCGAGAGAACUGUGGUUAAGGAACUCGGCAAAAUGCCCCCGUAACUUCGGGAGAAGGGGGACCACGUCUGGUGACGGCCCUUGCGGCUCGAGCUGGGUGUGGUCGCAGAGACCAGUGAGAAGCGACUGUUUACUAAAAACACAGGUCCGUGCGAAGUCGUAAGACGAUGUAUACGGACUGACGCCUGCCCGGUGCCGGAAGGUUAAGAGGACCGGUUAGCGCCCUUCGGGGUGCGAAGCUGAGAAUUUAAGCCCCGGUAAACGGCGGUGGUAACUAUAACCAUCCUAAGGUAGCGAAAUUCCUUGUCGGGUAAGUUCCGACCUGCACGAAUGGCGUAACGACUUCUCAGCUGUCUCAACCACAGACUCGGCGAAAUUGCAUUACGAGUAAAGAUGCUCGUUACGCGCGGCAGGACGAAAAGACCCCGGGACCUUCACUAUAGCUUGGUAUUGGUGUUCGGUACGGUUUGUGUAGGAUAGGUGGGAGACUGUGAAGCGGGCACGCCAGUGUUCGUGGAGUCGUCGUUGAAAUACCACUCUGGUCGUAUUGGGCUUCUAACCUCGGACCAUGAUCUGGUUCAGGGACAGUGCCUGGUGGGUAGUUUAACUGGGGCGGUUGCCUCCUAAAGUGUAACGGAGGCGCCCAAAGGUUCCCUCAGCCUGGUUGGCAAUCAGGUGUCGAGUGCAAGUGCACAAGGGAGCUUGACUGUGAGAGCGACAGCUCGAGCAGGGACGAAAGUCGGGACUAGUGAUCCGGCACCGGCAAGUGGAAGCGGUGUCGCUCAACGGAUAAAAGGUACCCCGGGGAUAACAGGCUGAUCUUCCCCAAGAGUCCAUAUCGACGGGAUGGUUUGGCACCUCGAUGUCGGCUCGUCGCAUCCUGGGGCUGGAGUAGGUCCCAAGGGUUGGGCUGUUCGCCCAUUAAAGCGGCACGCGAGCUGGGUUUAGAACGUCGUGAGACAGUUCGGUCUCUAUCCGCCGCGCGCGUCAGAAACUUGAGGAAGGCUGUCCCUAGUACGAGAGGACCGGGACGGACGAACCUCUGGUGUGCCAGUUGUUCCGCCAGGAGCACCGCUGGUUAGCUACGUUCGGAAGGGAUAACCGCUGAAAGCAUCUAAGCGGGAAGCCUGUUCCAAGAUGAGGUUUCUCACCCACAUUGAUGGGUUAAGGCCCCCCACAGACCAUGGGGUUGAUAGGCCAGAACUGGAAGCCCGGUAACGGGUGUAGGUGACUGGUACUAAUAGGCCGAGGACUUACCAAC
rnacentral:rRNA from 1 species